GAUGAACGCUGGCGGCGUGCCUAAUACAUGCAAGUCGAGCGAACCGUCGUGAAGACCGCUUAUCUGAUGUUAGCGGCGGACGGGUGAGUAACACAUGGAUAACCUACCUAUAAGCCUGGGAUAACUUCGGGAAACAGAAGCUAAUACCGGAUAAUAUAUUAAACCGCAAGCUUCAAAACUGCAAGACGAUCUUGCUGACACUUACAGAUCGAUCCGCGCUGCAUUAGCUAGUUGGUAAGGUAAAGGCUUACCAAGGCAACGAUGCAUAGCCGACCUGAGAGGGUGAUCGGCCACACUGGGACUGAGACACGGCCCAGACUCCUACGGGAGGCAGCAGUAGGGAAUCUUCCGCAAUGGGCGAAAGCCUGACGGAGCAACGCCGCGUGAGUGAUGAAGGUCUUCGGAUCGUAAAACUCUGUUAUUAGGGAAGAACGUGUGUGUGAGUAACUGUGCACAUCUUGACGGUACCUAAUCAGAAAGCCACGGCUAACUACGUG
rnacentral:rRNA from 1 species